UACGUAGGGUGCAAGCGUUGUCCGGAAUUAUUGGGCGUAAAGAGCUCGUAGGCGGUUUGUCGCGUCUGCUGUGAAAACUCGGGGCUUAACCCCGGGCCUGCAGUGGGUACGGGCAGACUAGAGUGCGGUAGGGGAGACUGGAAUUCCUGGUGUAGCGGUGAAAUGCGCAGAUAUCAGGAGGAACAUCAGUGGCGAAAGCGACUUCCUGGACCAAUACUGACGCUCAUGUGCGAAAGCGUGGGGAGCAAACAGG
rnacentral:rRNA from 1 species